rnacentral:rRNA from 1 species
UACGGGGGGGGCAAGCGUUGUUCGGAAUUACUGGGCGUAAAGGGCGCGUAGGCGGCCUGCUAAGUCACACGUGAAAUCCCUCGGCUCAACCGGGGAACUGCGUGUGAUACUGGCGGGCUUGAAUUCGGGAGAGGGAUGUGGAAUUCCAGGUGUAGCGGUGAAAUGCGUAGAUAUCUGGAGGAAUACCGGUGGCGAAGGCGGCAUCCUGGACCGGCAUUGACGCUGAGGAGCGAAAGCUAGGGGAGCAAACGGG